rnacentral:rRNA from 1 species
AACGAACGCUGGCGGCAUGCCUAACACAUGCAAGUCGAACGAGAUCUUCGGGUCUAGUGGCGCACGGGUGCGUAACGCGUGGGAAUCUGCCCUCAGGUUCGGAAUAACCAUUGGAAACGAUGGCUAAUACCGGAUGAUGACGUUAAGUCCAAAGAUUUAUCGCCUGAGGAUGAGCCCGCGUAGGAUUAGCUAGUUGGUGUGGUAAAGGCGCACCAAGGCGACGAUCCUUAGCUGGUCUGAGAGGAUGAUCAGCCACACUGGGACUGAGACACGGCCCAGAAUCCUACGGGAGGCAGCAGUGGGGAAUAUUGGACAAUGGGCGAAAGCCUGAUCCAGCAAUGCCGCGUGAGUGAUGAAGGCCUUAGGGUUGUAAAGCUCUUUUACCCGGGAUGAUAAUGACAGUACCGGGAGAAUAAGCUCCGGCUAACUCCGUG